CUGGAAACAACCCAGAGGCCUUUCAAUGGAAGAAUUGAUACAGAAAAUGUGGUACAUUAAGCAACAGAAUACUACUCAGCUAUUAAAAUUGAUGACUUCACAAAUUUUGUAGAUUUAAUAUUAUUGCCACCUUUAACAUAAAGCCUCCUUGAAACUCCCAGGUCCUAUACAUUGAUAUUGAAAGGUUCAAUUCUGGGGACUGGAUUCCAUCCAAUUGAAUUGACCAAAAGGAUCGUGUGGCAAUCUCCAAACAACCCAGGCUGUUGCCAAGACAAUAGGAUAUUCUAUACCCAACACAACCAAAAAGCCUUCCAUCCACAAUCUAUCUUGAAUAAUAUGCUAAGGCAAUAGUGACACAAACCUUCUGACAGUAACCAAUUGAAAUCAGAUUUGAUUUAAGGCCCACCCCUUGAGAUAGAACCCACACUUGACACUACUUAGAGGACGUUGUUCAAAGCAGGUAUUAAUUUUCUACUUGCUAGUAUUUAA